rnacentral:rRNA from 1 species
AUUGAACGCUGGCGGCAGGCCUAACACAUGCAAGUCGAACGAGUGGCGGACGGGUGAGUAAUGUCUGGGAAACUGCCUGAUGGAGGGGGAUAACUACUGGAAACGGUAGCUAAUACCGCAUACCAUCGGAUGUGCCCAGAUGGGAUUAGCUAGUUGGUGGGUGAAAGGCAUACCAAGGGGACGAUCCGUAACUGGUCUGAGAGGAUGCUCAGUCACACUGGAACUGAGACACGGUCCAGACUCCUACGGGAGGCAGCAGUGGGGAAUAUUGGACAAAGGGCGCAAGCCUGAUGCAGCCAUGCCGCGUGUAUGAAGAAGGCCUUCGGGUUGUAAAGUACUUUCAGCGGGGAGGCGUUACCCGCAGAAGAAGCACCGGCUAACUCCGUGCCAGCAGCCGCGGUAAUAC